CGACCCCUCAAGCCUGGCUUGGUGUUGGGCCACGCCGCGUCCACGGCGGGCCCUAAAGGUAGCGGCGGUGCUGUCGAGCCCUAAGCGUAGUAGUAGAUCCUCGCUAUAGGGAGCCCGGCGGUCGCUAGCCGUCAACCCCCACACUCCUAAGU
rnacentral:misc_RNA from 1 species